AUGCAGAAAAAUUCAGCUGAGGAGUUUGCAAAUGAAGCCCAGGUUAUCUCUACCUACGUGGACCUCUCCCAGUUCUCCCAGAACAUGGGCGAUAGGGAGAAGUGGCUGCACUGUGAACAGAUAGCCAUUCAGAAGAGUAGCCUGUGUUGGUUCUCCAGGGAAGGAUUAUUGGCUACAGCCCAGCUCAUGCAGGCCUUGGCCUACACCAAGCUUUGCCUUGGCCAUCUUGACUUCUCCAUCAAGCUGGGUUUUCAAGCUCAUGAGAUAUGCAGACAACUCAAGAAACCGGCUCUGGAGAAUCUAGUUCUCUCAGUUCUCUUCAGAUCUACAUUUCUGAAGAAGAAAUAUGAUCUGUGUGUCCAUGUGCUGGAGAGUCAGUGGGCGCUCAUUUCCCAGGGUCAUGAUGUCCUUGGCCUGGCCUGCUUCUACUCUGCUUGCUUAGAUCUGCUGUUGUAUGGAAAAGGAUUGCUGUGUCGGCCCUUUGACGAGUGUCUGUGUUUCAUUCAACACUAUGGGCACAGCUGUGUUCUAACUUCUCAAAGCAAUGUCAUGCUGGGGGUCCAUUCCUCCCUGGCCAUGUGGUUUGCCCGGAACUCACAGUGGGACCUAUUUGAGCAUCACUUCUCCAAGGCUUGCCGAUUGGUGAAAAGAACCAAUGCCUCACUGUUUGGUUCACAUGGCUUUGUGCGAUUCCUAGAGUGCUGUGUGCUGAUGUUACAGAAAAUGCCAGAGGAGGUCUCUGGUCUUUCCCCAGAGACCCCCAGCCAAACCCUCCAGUACUUUAAGGAGUUCUUCUCUCGGUGUGUGACCUGCCCUGUCUAUCAUGAAUGGGUCUCUGAGCUUAAGGCCUCUGUGAUGAGGUGUGGAAAGAAAGAAUCCAUGACCUUGAGUAACUCCAUCAGACCUUUUGAGACCAGCUUGAGCAGGAUUUGGAUAGAGGGAGAAUUCCUAAAGAAAAACAACUGUUAUGAAAAAAAAAUUAGGAAUACAGAAAUUUGACAGUGUGGCUGAUGUCAAGGAGAAUAAGGACACAGAAGAAACUCAAAGAAUAUAUAUGUUAAAACAAAACAAAAAUAACCUGAUGGGACAGGAUUCUCAUAUUGUAUAUAAUGCAAGGAAAUGCCCUGAGUUCUCCGUGUUCACCAUGUGCAUGCUGAAUAGACUAGCCUUCAUAGUCACUGCAGCCUAUGUCUUUGUCAAAAUAAAAGUCUAUGUUUCUAAA
rnacentral:lncRNA from 1 species